rnacentral:rRNA from 1 species
AGGGCGAACGCUGGCGGCACGCCUAAUGCAUACAAGUCGAGCGAUCGGCCCCGGAGAGCUUGCUCUCUGGGGUACGGAGCGGCGCACGGGUGAGUAACACGUGAGCAACCUACCUCGAAGACUGGGACAACCCCGGGAAACUGGGGCUGAUACCGGACACCUUCAUCGGGGGGCAUCCCCUGAUGAAGAAAGGAUUCCGCUUCGAGAGGGGCUCGCGGCCUAUCAGCUUGUUGGUGGGUAACGGCCCACCAAGGCUUCGACGGGUA